AUUUGGUCGUAGACCCGAAACCAGGUGAUCUACCCUUGGUCAGGUUGAAGUUCAGGUAACACUGAAUGGAGGACCGAACCGACUUACGUUGAAAAGUGAGCGGAUGAACUGAGGGUAGCGGAGAAAUUCCAAUCGAACCUGGAGAUAGCUGGUUCUCUCCGAAAUAGCUUUAGGGCUAGCCUCAAGUGAUGAUUAUUGGAGGUAGAGCACUGUUUGGACGAGGGGCCCCUCUCGGGUUACCGAAUUCAGACAAACUCCGAAUGCCAAUUAAUUUAACUUGGGAGUCAGAACAUGGGUGAUAAGGUCCGUGUUCGAAAGGGAAACAGCCCAGACCACCAGCUAAGGUCCCAAAAUAUAUGUUAAGUGGAAAAGGAUGUGGCGUUGCCCAGACAACUAGGAUGUUGGCUUAGAAGCAGCCAUCAUUUAAAGAGUGCGUAAUAGCUCACUAGUCGAGUGACACUGCGCCGAAAAUGUACCGGGGCUAAACAUAUUACCGAAGCUGUGGAUUGUCCUUUGGACAAUG
rnacentral:rRNA from 1 species